rnacentral:lncRNA from 1 species
AUGCCAGAAUCAGCAAUGAGAGAACAGAGAGGUAUAAAUCACAAUGUUCUUGCCCUUGAGGAAGGUGUCUGGUAUCUAGGCAGAAAAAGUAUACCAAUGCAAUUCUCACAGAUGGGAGCAGAGAAAGCCAGAAUGCCAGCACAUUCCAUGGAGGAAAAACUAGGGACAGGUGAUCAAAGCCUGCCAUCUCUCCAUGAUAAUGAGAAAGCAGCACGGAGGGCCAGUUCAAGACAGACCACAGGUCCGCAGAUGGGCAGGAGCAGCAUGCCUCUGUCUUGCAUGGAGCCAGUCAACUGCAGACCCAGAGCCCUUCAGUAGCUUCCUGCCUCCUUCCAAGUCAUGGAGACUUACUGACUUCAGAGUGAUUCCGUAAAACUAUUCUGAAGUCAAUGAACCUAAGGGUCUAAAUAGUCAAAUAACAGAGAAGGUUCUGUAAGUGGUUCUUUGCCAUGUGCUUCAAGAGAUAAUAAGACAUCAGUCUUCAGAUGGUUUCCCAAUGACCUAGCAUGGUAUGUCUGCAGUAUCUCCAUCAUACAUGAGUGGCAGCCUCUCUGAAGACUAGACUGGAAAGCAAAGGUUAAGAAGAUCACAUCAGGAGCCAAACAUUCUUGGAAGCUGAUGCUUCUCUACAGACUAUUGAUAUUCAAAUCCCACCAAGUGUGUGCCCUAUUUUAACUGGACCACCUCAGUUAAUGAAUGCAUCUGUUAACUUAUUUAGGAGUGGGUUUUCUUUGAACUAUGACAGAUUCAAUUUCCCCCGAGGUGUACCAUUCCAAGAUCAAUGAAGACCUGUGACUUAUAUUUAUAUGCAAUUCAGUGGGAGAGAAAGGGAUUUGUGAAUUCUUGCGCCUAGGGAUAUAAUAUUAGCUACCUUCAACUCAUUAAUUAAUUAUUGCCAUUAAAUGAAUGCUUACUUCUUGCAGGAUACUAAUCUAAGUACCAGGGAAUUAAAUAGACAGAUAGAUGGGUACACAGAUAGAUAGAUACACACACACACACACACACACAACCAAUCUUGGUCUUCAACAGGUGCAAAUAAUCCUGCAAUCUUACAAGAGAUAAGGAUCAGACAAGGAAAGUGUAAGUGUGACACAAGAGCAAUAGGA